GAUGAACGCUGGCGGCGUGCCUAACACAUGCAAGUCGAGCGGCAGCGAGGGGUGCUUGCACCCUGUCGGCGAGCGGCGGACGGCUGAGUAACGCGUGGGAACGUGCCCCAAAGUGAGGAAUAACUGCCCGAAAGGGUAGCUAAUACCGCAUAUUAUCUUCGGAUCAAAGGAUUUAUCCGCUUUGGGAGCGGCUCGCGUCGGAUUAGGUAGUUGGUGAGGUAAUGGCUCACCAAGCCGACGAUCCGUAGCUGGUCUGAGAGGAUGACCAGCCAGACUGGAACUGAGACACGGUCCAGACUCCUACGGGAGGGAGCAGUGAGGAAUAUUCCACAAGGGGCGAAAGCCUGAUGGAGCAACGCCGCGUGCAGGACGAAGGCCGUCGGGUUGUAAACUGCUUUUAUAAGUGAGGAAUAUGACGGUAACUUAUGAAUAAGGAUCGGCUAACUACGUG
rnacentral:rRNA from 1 species